AUUGAACGCUGGCGGCAGGCCUAACACAUGCAAGUCGAGCGGAUGAAGGUAGCUUGCUCCUGGUUUCAGCGGCGGACGGGGGGGUAAUUCCUAGAAAUCUGCCUGGUAGUGGGGGAUAACGUCCGGAAACGGGCGCUAAUACCGCAUACGUCCUGAUGGAGAAAGUGGGGGAUCUUCGGACCUCACUCUAUCAGAUGAGCCUAGGUCGGAUUAGCUAGUUGGUGGGGUAAAGGCCUACCAAGGCGACGAUCCGUAACUGGACUGAGAGGAUGAUCAGUCACACUGGAACUGAGACACGGUCCAGACUCCUACGGGAGGCAGCAGUGGGGAAUAUUGGACAAUGGGCGAAAGCCUGAUCCAGCCAUGCCGCGUGUGUGAAGAAGGUCUUCGGAUUGUAAAGCACUUUAAGUUGGGAGGAAGGGCAGUAAGUUAAUACCUUGCUGUUUUGACGUUACCAACAGAAUAAGCACCGGCUAACUUCGUG
rnacentral:rRNA from 1 species